rnacentral:rRNA from 1 species
CCUACGGGUGGCAGCAGUGAGGAAUAUUGGUCAAUGGCCGGGAGGCAGAACCAGCCAAGUCGCGUGAGGGAAGACGGCCCUACGGGUUGUAAACCUCUUUUGUCGGGGAGCAAGGUGCAGGUCGGGACCUGCUGUGAGAGUACCUGAAGAAAAAGCAUCGGCUAACUCCGUGCCAGCAGCCGCGGUAAUACGGAUGAUGCGAGCGUUAUCCUGAUUUAUUGGGGUUAAAGGGUGCGCAGGCGGAGGGACAAGUCAGCGGUAAAAUCGCGGGGCUCAACCCCGCUCCGCCGUUGAAACUGUGUCCCUUGAGUGCGCGAAGGGUAGGCGGAAUGCGUGAUGUAGCGGUGAAAUGCAUAGAUAGCACGCAGAACCCCGAUUGCGAAGGCAGCAUACCGGCGCCCUACUGACGCUGAGGCACGAAAGUGUGGGUAUCGAACAGGAUUAGAUACCCGUGUAGUC